CUCAAUAACUCAAAAAGUGUACAUGCCAUCCUCCCCAAACUCGGUGUGUAUACAUGUCUCGACCCCCUCCAGGUCUCCACCGAGUUUGGGGCCCUGGCCCCUUCCGUCGUUGUAGCUGCCAUAGACUCCCAUUGAUUUUUCAAGUUUUGCUGGGAGCGUCGGAUCGAGCUGGGAGUGGGUUUUCCGUGCUCAGCCGGUCCCCCCGAGUCCGCA